AACGUAGGAGACAAACGUUAUCCGGAGUUACUGGGCGUAAAGGGCGUGUAGGGGGUUUCGUAAGUCUGGCGUGAAAUAUCUCGGCUUAACCGAGGCAGGUCGUCGGAUACUGCGGGACUAGAGGACGGUAGAGGCGUGUGGAAUUCCGGGUGUAGUGGUGAAAUGCGUAGAGAUCCGGAGGAACACCAGUGGCGAAGGCGACACGCUGGGCCGUACCUGACACUGAUGCGCGACAGCAUGGGGAGCAAACAGG
rnacentral:rRNA from 1 species